GACGAACGCUGGCGGCGUGCUUAACACAUGCAAGUCGAACGGAAAGGCCCUGCUUUUGUGGGGUGCUCGAGUGGCGAACGGGUGAGUAACACGUGAGUAACCUGCCCUUGACUUUGGGAUAACUUCAGGAAACUGGGGCUAAUACCGGAUAGGAGCUCCUGCUGCAUGGUGGGGGUUGGAAAGUUUCGGCGGUUGGGGAUGGACUCGCGGCUUAUCAGCUUGUUGGUGGGGUAGUGGCUUACCAAGGCUUUGACGGGUAGCCGGCCUGAGAGGGUGACCGGCCACAUUGGGACUGAGAUACGGCCCAGACUCAUACGGGAGGAAGCAGUGGGGAAUAUUGCACAAUGGGCGGAAGCCUGAGGCAGCAACGCCGCGUGCGGGAUGACGGCCUUCGGGUUGUAAACCGCUUUCGCCUGUGACGAAGCGUGAGUGACGGUAAUGGGUAAAGAAGCACCGGCUAACUACGU
rnacentral:rRNA from 1 species